rnacentral:rRNA from 1 species
GAUGAACGCUGGCGGCGUGCCUAAUACAUGCAAGUCGAGCGAACAGACGAGGAGCUUGCUCCUCUGACGUUAGCGGCGGACGGGUGAGUAACACGUGGAUAACCUACCUAUAAUACUGGGAUAACUUCGGGAAACCGGAUCUAAUACCGGAUAAUAUAUUGAACCGCAUGGUUCAAUAGUGAAAGACGGUUUUGCUGUCACUUAUAGAUGAAUCCGCGCCGCAUUAGCUAGUUGGUAAGGUAACGGCUUACCAAGGCAACGAUGCGUAGCCGACCUGAGAGGGUGAUCGGCCACACUGGAACUGAGACACGGUCCAGACUCCUACGGGAGGCAGCAGUAGGGAAUCUUCCGCAAUGGGCGAAAGCUUGACGGAGCAACGCCGCGUGAGUGAUGAAGGUCUUCGGAUCGUAAAACUCUGUUAUUAGGGAAGAACAAAUGUGUAAGUAACUAUGCACGUCUUGACGGUACCUAAUCAGAAAGCCACGGCUAACUACGUG